rnacentral:other from 1 species
AUUUACCUGAGGUGUUCGAUAACCUGCUAUUUUGAACCUACAUUUUCUUUUACGGGAUUCCAAUAUUUUGGGGUAGAUGUCAGGCCAUCAUUACGCAGUGGAAGGCAGAAGCUCCAUUGAGGUUACCCACCUAGCUUUGCUAGGAGUCAAAAUUGUGGGACCGGCAUUUUGGGGAUACU